rnacentral:rRNA from 1 species
GACGAACGCUGGCGGCGCGCCUAACACAUGCAAGUCGAACGGAGUUGUGUUGAAAGCUUGCUGGAUAUACAACUUAGUGGCGGACGGGUGAGUAACACGUGAGUAACCUGCCUCUCAGAGUGGAAUAACGUUUGGAAACGAACGCUAAUACCGCAUAACGUGCGGUCCUCGCAUGGGGACUGUACCAAAGAUUUUAUCGCUGGAAGAUGAGCUCGCGGCCGAUUAGGUAGUUGGUGAGAUAACAGCCCACCAAGCCGACGAUCGGUAGCCGGACUGAGAGGUUGAUCGGCCACAUUGGGACUGAGACACGGCCCAG